UUUGGGUGCUAUCAACGUUUGUCUUGCUCGCAAUUACGUAAAUUUUAAAAAAAAAGAGCAAUGAAUGAGGCCAACAAUGUAGUGUCAUAAGCCGAUUAUGAUAGCUCAUAUUCAUCUCUACCAAUGGUAAAAAAAUACAUGAAUUUCAGACAUAAAAACACAAAGAACUGCGAAUUGUUAUGGAGUUUUUGCGCAUUUUUUUUCUGUAUACUUAGAAAAAUGUUCAGAAGUUUUUAUUUUUUAAGGAAUAAAUUUGGGUUGCGACAUAUUGCUAUUAAACAAAAAAUUGAAAUAAAAAAUUUUCCCGAAAUGAUUCAGAGAUAUAUUUUGUUUUGUUAAAAUUCAUCCUGUAAAGUUUGGCGACAAUAUUUCAACAAUAAGCCAGUUAUUAUAAGUUAUCAGACAGAUAAUAUCUGAACUUCUCUACGGCAGUUAGUUUCUGGAAUUUGGUAAGAGUGGUUAAGUAAAUGCAUAAUGCAUACUAGCCAAAAUAUUGAACAUCUUUCUUCAAUGAAUAAGUCAGUGUUUUUUAAAACAAUAAUAGAUUCUAAAGUAGUACAAAUUUCGCUGUGGUUCGGACCUUAAACCAUUGAAUUCUCACUGCGUCUGACGACAAACCCAUGAUUUCAGGCCAAUUUUAAUUUCCAUUAGUUUCAUAAUAUUAAGAAUGGGAUAAAAGCCUUCAUUAAAAAUACAGACUGUAAAAUAAUUUGCAAUUCCAAUUGUUUGGUAUCCAGAAUUUAUAUGGCUGGAUCGACUUGUUAGUGACUUGUUGUUAUUUUGAGUUUCGCAACGCAAACAACGUUUUAAUAAAGAAUCCUCCGACAAGCUCUCAUAAAUAGGCUUCAAAACAUGUAAAACCUUAUCAGUUAGAGGUGAAUCCUCGUAGGAAAAGUCAUCCAGAGUUCCUUCAGCCGCUGCUUUCUGCCACUUGCACCUCAUGUCAUGUUAAUUGAUCUUAAAAACAAGACAUGUCUGUAAGUGUAGGCCACUUGAAAUGCCUAAUAUUAACGCUUAAGAUUUGUCCCACAUGCUCAGGCAAACAGAUGCAGUAUCUGCUUAGGCCAUAGUUAAAACUAGAAUAAGAAUCUUGGAAACUAUAUUUGAAAAAGUAAAACAUUUUAAAUUUAGAUCUCAAUGAAGAAGCGUAUUUCAUUUAGUUGUCAUCCCAAACAUUUUGGUCUUUGGGCAACUCUGCAGUAUUCCCCCACCAGUGGUAAGAGACUCAGUGCUAAGACCAGCAUCUUAAAUAUUAAAAAGUAAAUGCGCUUGCUAAAGGUAGCUAAAAACAAUUGACUCUUGUUUUCCCCCACCAGUGGUAAGAAACAGAGUAUAAAUUUAAAAAAAAAAAAGCAAAAGGAUAAAAAAGAAUCUUUUCUGUAUUUUAAAACUCAAAAAAUAAUACAUUUUUUGUAAAACGGUAGACGAGAAAUCAACAAGUUUUAAAUAAAAACAAAUUUUGCCAUCGGUCAAUUAUAUUUUCUGUGGCAAUUUCAAGGCCAGAAACAUAGAAAAAGUGCUUUCAAAAAAUUAGCGUAUUUGAAUUUGAAUGGACGCAAACUUCGGCAAGCCGAAGUUCGUAAAUAUUCUUGAAAACUUUAAAAUUAUUAUUUGCUUGCGUAUAUGUUUAAAAACAUUGAAGCUAUGAUGAUUUGCAGCUCAAUUAUUCGAUAGUUCUUAUGACAGCUAUAAUUUAAUACAACUGAAAGUGUUGUUGCAUUUUCAGUUGAAGCCGUCUGGAAAAUACUAAAACGAACCGAUACGUCAGCAGGUCCCGCUAUCGAUAAGAUUCGGUGGUGACACCGACUAUUGAUAGCGGGAGAGGAUCUAGCUAUUUAAAUUUAGCCCGGUUCGCUCGUUAACUGGGUUAAAUAGCCUUCAAUACGUUCGCUGACCCAUCUUGAGAGAGCGGGAGGGAAAAUGGCGAACGACUUUGGUGUAGGUCAGGGUUUUGCUUUAGUUGCUGCAAUAAGUCGCAGUAGAACAGUCGUGGAAAAAUAAGUUCAUAAGUGCAUUAUUAGUGUUUAGAUAAAUUAAACCACCGGGGACCCUAUCUAAAGGGCCCCGGAAAUUUAAGGGAUUCGGGAAUACUCACCUGGCGGACCUAACCUGGUCGUGAGGACCACGUCGGCCACCAGCGUCAGCAGCUCCAGCAACUGCCUCCGAGACGGCCACAUACGGAGAUUCCCUCGGUGAGUUCGUUCCGGGAACGAAUGCCCGCGCUGACCACUUGGUCAUCUCCAAGUCCACCGACGCACUGCCUCCGGCCCCUCUUACGCAGAUGCUGCGCUAUCCUCCGGAGUCCGCACGGAGGGACUCGCGCCUAUUUUCGCCGCUAGCGAUUCUUCUCUUCUGGCUGCAGCUUCAACCACAUCCGACGUUGAACUCUGCAAUUAAUAAGUUUAGUAAUUAAGUUUGUGAUAUCAUACAGUUAAGAUUGUCAAGUACUCACUGUGAAAUCUAAUCUUAAAUUAGAAGCUUAAUUCCGAACCCUAGCCGCGCGUCCAACUACGUCUAAAUUGGGUCCCGAAAUUUAAUGAGUUGUGGGAUUUAUUUAGCGUACUUACCUUUUCAGCACGUCCCUUCUUUUCCCUUGGAGCUCCUCAGGAUUAGGCGACCCGGUUGGCAAACGCCUCCAAUUUAGUGCCGUGCGGCGAUUUUUGCCUGACACUUGUAGUAUUAAGCGUCUAAAAAUUUCACUUCGGUUGUUGUCACUUUGACCGCUUUUCAUCUGGGCGACGGUCUGAGAUCGGCCUUGAGUGUUUCUAACGAAAAGAGUAGAUUAUUAGUAGGCAUCAAUAAUGAAUGUAUUUAUUUAUUAAUCUUGCCCAAAAUUAAAUGUGAACAAGCUACCGA